rnacentral:tRNA from 1 species
CCCUGUAGCUCAGUUGGUAGAGCAUGGUGUCUGCAACGCCAGGGUCGUGGGUUCAAUUCCCACAGGGG